CGAGAGUAAGCUAGUCUCUUAAAGCCGUUCUCAGUUCGGACUGUAGGCUGCAACUCGCCUACACGAAGUCGGAAUCGCUAGUAAUCGCGGAUCAGCCACGGCGCGGUGAAUACGUUCCCGGGCCUUGUACACACCGCCCGUCAAGCCAUGGAAGCCGGGAGUGCCUGAAGUACGCGACCGCAAGGAGCGUCCUAAGGUAAAACCGGUGACUGGGGCUAAGUCGUAACAAGGUAUC
rnacentral:rRNA from 1 species